GUCUCUGUGGCGCAGUGGGUCAGCGCGUUUGGCUGUUAACCAAGAGGAUGGUGGUUUGAGCCAACCCAGGGACG
rnacentral:tRNA from 1 species